AACGAACGCUGGCGGCAUGCCUAACACAUGCAAGUCGAACGAAGCCUUCGGGCUUAGUGGCGCACGGGUGCGUAGCGCGUGGGAAUCUGCCCCUUGGUUCGGAACAACAGUUAGAAAUGACUGCUAAUACCGGAUAACGACGAAAGUCCAAAGAUUUAUCGCCGAGGGAUGAGCCCGCGUAAGAUUAGGUAGUUGGUGGGGUAAUGGCCUACCAAGCCGACGAUCUUUAGCUGGUCUGAGAGGAUGAUCAGCCACACUGGGACUGAGACACGGCCCAGACUCCUACGGGAGGCAGCAGUGGGGAAUAUUGGACAAUGGGCGAAAGCCUGAUCCAGCAAUGCCGCGUGAGUGAUGAAGGCCUUAGGGUUGUAAAGCUCUUUUACCAGGGAUGAUAAUGACAGUACCUGGAGAAUAAGCUCCGGCUAACUCCGUGCCAGCAGCCGCGGUAAAGUCUG
rnacentral:rRNA from 1 species